CAGUGACGAGAGUAACACACACGCGGAAGAUUUACAUUGGUGAUUUAUUAUAGCAAGAUCGGACAUCAGAUCAGGUCACAAGCCAUCGGUGAGAUGUGACACACGUAGUACAUCAAACUAGCAUCGCCGACCUCACAUGCCCGAUCAAAGGAAGGAAGGAGGGAAGCUGAACGUAACCUCACCACCACCACCACCACCACCAUCACCAGCAUCACCACCGCCGCCAUAUUGGACUAGG